rnacentral:misc_RNA from 1 species
GAUGAAGAACGCAGCGAAAUGCGAUACGUAAUGUGAAUUGCAGAAUUCAGUGAAUCAUCGAGUCUUUGAACGCACAUUGCGCCCCCUGGUAUUCCGGGGGGCAUGCCUGUCCGAGCGUCAUUGCUGCCCUCAAGCACGGCUUGUGUGUUGGGCCUCCGUCCUCCUCCCGGGGGACGGGCCCGAAAGGCAGCGGCGGCACCGCGUCCGGUCCUCGAGCGUAUGGGGCUUCGUCACCCGCUCUUUAGGCCCGGUCGGCGCUUGCCGACACAUCAAUCUUUUUUCCAGGUUGACCUCGGAUCAGGUAGGGAUACCCGCUGAACUUAAGCAUAUCAAUAAGCGGAGGA